AUUGAACGCUGGCGGCAUGCCUUACACAUGCAAGUCGAACGGUAGAGGGGCAACCCUCGAGAGUGGCGAACGGGUGAGUAAUGCAUCGGAACGUGCCCAGUAGUGGGGGAUAGCCCGGCGAAAGCCGGAUUAAUACCGCAUACGACCUACGGGUGAAAGGGGGGGGUCGCAAGACCUCUCGCUAUUGGAGCGGCCGAUGUCAGAUUAGGUAGUUGGUGGGGUAAAGGCCUACCAAGCCGACGAUCUGUAGCUGGUCUGAGAGGACGACCAGCCACACUGGGACUGAGACACGGCCCAGACUCCUACGGGAGGCAGCAGUGGGGAAUUUUGGACAAUGGGCGAAAGCCUGAUCCAGCCAUGCCGCGUGCGGGAAGAAGGCCUUCGGGUUGUAAACCGCUUUUGUCAGGGAAGAAAUCCUUUGGGCUAAUACCCUGGGGGGAUGACGGUACCUGAAGAAUAAGCACCGGCUAACUACGUGCCAGCAGCCGCCGUAAAAC
rnacentral:rRNA from 1 species